UACGUAGGGUGCGAGCGUUAAUCGGAAUGAUUGGGCGUAAAGGGCUCGUAGGCGGUUUGUCGCGUCGGGAGUGAAAACUCAGGGCUCAACCCUGAGCGUGCUUCCGAUACGGGCAGACUAGAGGUAUGCAGGGGAGAACGGAAUUCCUGGUGUAGCGGUGGAAUGCGCAGAUAUCAGGAGGAACACCGGUGGCGAAGGCGGUUCUCUGGGCAUUACCUGACGCUGAGGAGCGAAAGCAUGGGGAGCGAACAGG
rnacentral:rRNA from 1 species